CAGUCGCCGCGGUAAUACGUAGGUGGCAAGCGUUGUCCGGAAUUAUUGGGCGUAAAGCGCGCGCAGGCGGAUAGGUCAGUCUGUCUUAAAAGUUCGGGGCUUAACCCCGUGAUGGGAUGGAAACUGCCAAUCUAGAGUAUCGGAGAGGAAAGUGGAAUUCCUAGUGUAGCGGUGAAAUGCGUAGAUAUUAGGAAGAACACCAGUGGCGAAGGCGACUUUCUGGACGAAAACUGACGCUGAGGCGCGAAAGCCAGGGGAGCGAACGGGAUUAGAUACCCCAGUAGUCCCUGUCUCUUAUACA
rnacentral:rRNA from 1 species